rnacentral:rRNA from 1 species
UUAAGCAUAUCAAUAAGCGGAGGAAAAGAAACCAACAGGGAUUGCCCUAGUAACGGCGAGUGAAGCGGCAACAGCUCAAAUUUGAAAUCUGGCUCUUUCAGAGUCCGAGUUGUAAUUUGCAGAGGGCGCUUUGGCUUUGGCAGCGGUCCAAGUUCCUUGGAACAGGACGUCACAGAGGGUGAGAAUCCCGUACGUGGUCGCUAGCUAUUGCCGUGUAAAGCCCCUUCGACGAGUCGAGUUGUUUGGGAAUGCAGCUCUAAAUGGGAGGUAAAUUUCUUCUAAAGCUAAAUAUUGGCCAGAGACCGAUAGCGCACAAGUAGAGUGAUCGAAAGAUGAAAAGCACUUUGGAAAGAGAGUCAAACAGCACGUGAAAUUGUUGAAAGGGAAGCGCUUGCAGCCAGACUUGCUUGCAGUUGCUCAUCCGGGCUUUUGCCCGGUGCACUCUUCUGCAGGCAGGCCAGCAUCAGUUUGGGCGGUGGGAUAAAGGUCUCUGUCACGUACCUUCCUUCGGGUUGGCCUUAUAGGGGAGACGCCAUACCACCAGCCUGGACUGAGGUCCGCGCAUCUGCUAGGAUGCUGGCGUAAUGGCUGUAAGCGGCCCGUCUUGAAACACGGACCAAGGAGUCUAACAUCUAUGCGAGUGUUUGGGUGUCAAGCCCGAGCGCGUAAUGAAAGUGAACGGAGGUGGGAACCCGCAAGGGUGCACCAUCGACCGAUCCUGAAGUUUACGGAAGGAUUUGAGUAAGAGCAUGGCUGUUGGGACCCGAAAGAUGGUGAACUAUGCUUGAAUAGGGUGAAGCCAGAGGAAACUCUGGUGGAGGCUCGCAGCGGUUCUGACGUGCAAAUCGAUCGUCAAAUUUGGGCAUAGGGGCGAAAGACUAAUCGAACUAUCUAGUAGCUGGUUCCUGCCGAAGUUUCCCUCAGAUAGCAGUAACGUAUUCAGUUUUAUGAGGUAAAGCGAAUGAUUAGAGGCAUGGGGGUUGAAACAACCUUCACCUAUUCUCAAACUUUAAAUAUGUAAGAAGCCCUUUGUUACUUAAUUGAACGCGGGCAUUUGAAUGAAA